ensembl:lncRNA
AGAGUCUUCUAUAUUAGUCACUACCUCGCGGGUUCCUCUUUCUCCUCGUUGCAUCGUCUUGUGGUGUGGAAGGUUCCUGGUAGAACUUAAACCGCAAUUAAGUGAAACAAUGUUUAACCUUUGUUUUUCAAAAUAUCACGUAGUCCAUGAAGGCUCGUAUGCAGGCUUGGGACCAGUAGUAUGGGCGCCGUGUAGGUGCUCGAUGGCAAUGGCGGGGUCCGUGGGGAAACUGCAUCCAAUAAAGGCUUCCAGAAGAGAGCAUGUGGUUACGAAACCCAAUUAAACGGCUAGACCUCCUAGACGCUGAUGACUGACAAUGCAGCCGCGCAGACGACUACGCUUGUUGUUUAGGGAAGGAGAAGCAGAUCACAUAUUCACCACCUCAAGACUUGGAUGUCUUACUCUACAUUCCUGGGACUGCUCCAUGGGUCAAACUGGAGGUGUAGCAGCACCCAGCUGGAUGACCACCACAGCCUAGUUCUACAUUGACUCUGAGCUAAAGUUGAAGAGGUAGCACAACCUCAAGACUGCAGUUGGUGAUGGUGUAAUUUGCCGCGCAGACGACUACGCUUGUUGUUUAGGGAAGGAGAAGCAGAUCACAUAUUCACCACCUCAAGACUUGGAUGUCUUACUCUAAUUUCCCAGCAGUGCUUCAUUGGUCAAACUGGAGGUGUAGCACCGCCCAGGGCUACCAUAACCUACAGAAUAGUUAUACAUUCCUGGGACUGCUCCAUGGGUCAAACUGGAGGUGUAGCAGCACCCAGCUGGAUGACCACCACAGCCUAGUUCUACAUUGACUCUGAGCUAAAGUUGAAGAGGUAGCACAACCUCAAGACUGCAGUUGGUGAUGGUGUAAUUUGACAACACUUGUAACGGGAAGGAGAAGCAGAUCUCAUAUUCACCAGCACCUCAAGACUUGUGGUCUUGCUCUACCUUCUCAAGGACCGCCGCAUGAGUUGAACCGGGUCCAGGACUUCUGCUGGCUGUAGUUUAGAUCCGUGCUGAUGGGACUCCGACGACUACGCUGGUUGUACAGGGAAGGAGAAGCAGAUCCCAUAAUCGCCACCUCAAGACUUGAUAUAUUACUAUACCUCAGAUUUGCCAUGGACUGCAUCAUGGGUCAAACUGGAGUUGUAGCAGCAACCAGCUGGGUGGCCAUCAUGGCCCGAAGCCUAGUUCUAGAUAGCUGCAUGAUGUUUAACUGGGAGCAGGACGUCUAGUGGCUGUAGUUUGGCCCUGUGCGGUUUGACUCCGCAGGCUACACGUGUUGUACCUGGAAGGAGAAGCAGAUCCCAUAUUCGCCAACACCUCAAUACUUGACGUCUGACUACUGGCUGUAGUUUGGAUCAGUGCUGUUUGACUCUGCCUUGCAGACAUGCGCUUGUACUGGGAAGGAGAGGCAGAACUCAUAUUCACCACCACCUCAAGACUGGUGUUGGCUUACUAUAAUUAAACGCUGGGGGAGAACCAAGCAACACUUGGUUAUGGCAGUGUGGAAGAGCUCCAAGAUGGGCUGUUUGAAAGAAUUCACUGAGCAUGAUAAAGGGAACUGACAUACUGUCAUCCCCUAUUAAUGAAUGUACACUGACUGUACACAUUAUGGGCGUACAAGACCACUAGACUUUUCAGGGGCUGAAAUACAACACUUCUAAUGUACAAAUGAAUGUCGUGCCAAUAAAAAAUAAACAUAAGCUUGUGCUGUUAUAUUUAUUUUUUUCUUCAAUCGUCUACACUGAAACAC